UCAACCAUUUGGCGGGAAACCAGGUCAGCUGCUUCGCCGCUCUUUCAUCAUUGGCUCUGCAGAGUGGCGUUUGUCUGCCGAGUUCUUCAUUCUGCCGAUCGUAGUCAUUGUCCAGCCUUCGUAGUCGGGCCAGCUACACUUGCAGCUGCGUAUGUGUCAGGCCUCCAAGAAGCUGUCCUGGCGAGAGGGCAGUGCGCAGGCUCUCCUCUACUACCUGGGCAUCGCGGUUCGUUGGCAACAGCAGCUGCAUUUCGGCCACCACACCAUCAGGUUCUCUGCACAGAAAGAAUGCAGCAUCCGCAGGUGGUACUCUUCCAGGCUUGGUGGUGGCAGUGUUGUUGGUGCUGAAGGCUUCCUUGGGCCACCUUUUGGCGUGUACCGCGGUGGAUAGAUGCUCGGCCCUGCACCUGUGUCUUCUGCUGGCGAUGAAGCCUUGGUACCUCCUCCCGGUGAUGGGCGUGGAGGUGGUCUGGUACCACCUGUACCAGAGCCAUUGGGAGCGAGAUACCAUGACUGAAGUUACGCAUUGCGAAUGCACCACCUACCAUGGCCUUGUUUGUAGAGAAGCCAAUGCCUGUCCACUUGUUGCUACGCGUGGUGAUGGUGAAGGCAACCUGGUCAGAAGAGGCCUGGUAGUGCCAGCUGGCUGUAUACUCGCAGUCGUCGGCAGCACAUGAAUCGGGGAAACGCCAGGAGCCUGAGCAAGCAGCAUCUGAGCUCCCACCUGCGACAUUGCCCAUCUCGCAGAAGCACUGUGUCCGUGGAUAUGAAGUGGCAUCGAUGUUCACGCAGCGGCCAUGCUGUCCACAAUCCGGGUCAAUCCAGCACUCGUCUGCACCAAGAAAUUAAUGACAGCGAUGAAUUCAGUUUCAUUUGUGCAGUGUUGGCUGUUCUACAAAUCGCAGCACUUGCGUAUAAAGGCCGUGAGGCAAGUUAUAGAAACAA